GCGCUCGCUUUGAUAGCACAUAUCCUAAAACUGGAAGGAUAGAGAGAAGAUUAAGCAUGGCCCCUGCACAAGGAUGACAUGCAAAUUUGUGAAGCAUUUCAUAUUUAA
ensembl:snRNA U6 U6 spliceosomal RNA